rnacentral:lncRNA from 13 species
GUAAACCAAAGAGGUCUGGUUCCUGUAUCAUCCCCGCGCCGGGCUGAGCGCCGGGGAGCGAGCCCACGGCCACUCGCUCGAGGAAUCUGGAGCGGGCUCAGGGCUCAGCAGCUGAGCUUUCUCACUCCGGCUGUGAACAGAUGUCUCUUUCCUGGGGUGAUAGCAGACAGGUCCAUGAGGAAAUUUUCUUACCGGCAACUCCUCUAACAUAGAAGGGAGAUCAAGCCAGAGGUAAGUCAGUCCGUCGUGCAGGAACACACUGCAGGGAUCAUUGCAGGGAAUGCUUUGGGAU